GAACUAUCAGAAGGUGAGGCUUAAGCUCACAGAAUCCAGAGAAAUCAUGAAGUUAUAUGUAUUUCUGGUUAACACUGGAACUACUCUAACAUUUGACACUGAACUUACAGUGCAAACUGUGGCAGACCUUAAACAUGCCAUUCAAAGCAAAUACAAGAUUGCUAUUCAGCAUCAGGUGCUGGUGGUCAAUGGAGGAGAAUGCAUGUCUGCAGAUCGAAGAGUGUGCACCUAUAGCGCUGGGACGGUAGGUACACGAGGACCUAGGUCCUUUUAUCCUAAGGGCCUUUCACCACGGAGAGGGGCCUGGGACUCUGUGUUCAGAACUAAGGCUGAUCUGCUUCAUUUAUUCAGGGAAAUAUGCGUGUUCAGUAUUUGUAACAUUUUACCUUCAAUUAUUUCUGCUUUUUUUGUUAAUACAGGACACAAAUCCAAUUUUUCUAUUUAACAAAGAAAUGAUCUUAUGUGAUCGUGCGCCUGCUAUUCCUAAAACUACAUUUUCAACAGAAAAUGACAUGGAAAUAAAAGUUGAAGAAUCUCUUAUGAUGCCUGCAGUUUUUCACACUGUUGCUUCAAGGACACAACUUGCUGUGGUAAGAUAUAAACAGUCACUUUAAUUGGCUAACUGAUUGUACCUAAAAGCAUACAACUGUAAAUAACAAUCUUCUAGAUUACUUAGGAAGCAUGCAGAAGUUAUGAAAAGU
rnacentral:lncRNA from 1 species